rnacentral:lncRNA from 1 species
AUGAGUCCUGGAAAAUGCUUGCUAUAUGUGAAUGGGGUUGCAAGAAAUAGUGAAUGUACUUAUUGCAUCUGUUUUCUUUGCUCACCUAUGUGCUCCACCACCACAUCUGACUUCACUACACAACAUGAGUUUAAAGGUAAAGUCAUCAGGAAUGUCAAAAACGGUUAUUUACUGGAAGUCAGCCGAGACACUUUUAUACGUUCCUUGAGGGAAGGCACAGUGCUUGUUAUUUAUUCUCCCACCUUCUCUGGGCAAUCAAACAUUGAUGGAAGAGGAAGGUAGACGAGUUCUCAAAGAGUGGAAGGAAAAAUGUCCUGAGAAUCAAAGGAGACCCUAAAGCAGGGGCAGUGGGGCUGAAGGUAAGAGCUCUCCUUGCAGAAGUUGGAAAUUCUGCGGUUGGAACAAGUCUCACCUUUCUCUUGGUUUUAUCCACUCGUCACUGCUUCUUCACACCUGGUACUCAGCUGAUGUUUUAAAUAUUAAAAAAUAUAAAGCAUUCAAGCUCACCCCAAGCACUUCGUUACUCUGUACUUUUUUUUUUUUUUUUUUUUGAGAUGGAGCCUCGCUCUAUCGCCAGGCUGGAGCGCAGUGGAGCACGGUCUGGACUCACUGCAAUCUCUGCCCCCCGGGGUUCAAGCGAUUCUCUCGCCUCAGCCUCCGGAGUAGCUGGGAUUACAAGCGCGCGGCAACACGCCCGGCUAAUUUUUGUAUUUUUAGUACAGACGUGGUUUCACCAUGUUGGCCGGACUGGUCCCGAACUGUUUUUUUUUUUUUUUUUGGUCCCGAACUCUUGACCUCAGGUGAUCCACACGCCUCGGCCUCCCAAAGUGCUAGGAUUGCCGUCGUGAGCCAUCGCGCCCGGCCCUCUGUGAUCUUUUUGAAGUGGUCUUUGCCUCACUCUUGAAGAUGCCCAUAAUAAUGGCUAAGGGGCUGUUUGUUGUAUGUCUGGUUCUCAUCGAGAUGGCGAUGAAGUCAUUCAAAAAAUAUGCUGACCUGCGUCUCUAAUCUCAUAAAUACUUAAAUUUCACAUAAACACUGGAAAGGGUCCUUGCACUCAAUACUCCAUGAUAAGUAAUAUAAGUUUGCUUUUAGGCAAGAAAUGGGCCCAAGAAGGUACGCAUCCAUGUUUCUACGUUUCACAGUGCAUCCCUUCCCAAAUUCAAAUUGGCCUAUCCCAGUUCCUGCAACAAGCUAAGUAUUCUGGACUCCCAGUCUUUGCUCACACUGUUCCUUUGGCAGAAACAUCCUCCCCCUCACCUCCUGGAUAUACCGGCUCCAGCGGAAAGGCCGGGUGGUGACCUCUCCUAAAAGCCUU